UGCCUGUACCAAGGCAGGAAUAUGGCCGUUGUUUUCUAUUCGUUUGGUGUGUUAAAUUGAGCUUUUGGCUUUGCAAUUCCAUAAAGGACUUUCCGUUUGAAUAUUCCUAGGAGUUCGGUAUUUUUGUUAUUUAUCAUUUCUUUUUUUUAUAAUUACAUCUACGAAUAAAGAUUCUUUGAAAAUUACUGACAUCAUGCUAAAGUUACGGACAGCCCUAUUGGUAUAAGGAA
rnacentral:lncRNA from 1 species